UACAGGGGGGGCAAGCGUUGUUCGGAAUUACUGGGCGUAAAGGGCUCGUAGGCGGCCAACUAAGUCACACGUGAAAUCCCCAGGCUUAACCUGGGAACUGCGUGUGAUACUGGAUGGCUUGAAUUCGGGAGAGGGAUGCAGAAUUCCAGGUGUAGCGGUGAAAUGCGUAGAUAUCGGGAGGAACACCUGUGGCGAAGGCGGCCCCCUGGUUGGAUACUGACGCUGAUACGCGAAAGCGUGGGGAGCAAACAGG
rnacentral:rRNA from 1 species